rnacentral:lncRNA from 1 species
CCAGAGGCGGGCUUCAGCUGGUCUCUAAAUAAAAAUAUAUACUAGUUAUGUGAAAAUGGACGUCACACUUAACUUAGAUAAAAAAAAAACACAUAAAAAACUAACAAAGACCGGAUUCUCCUGACUUGGGACAGGCGCAAAAAUGCGGCGGGGUUAAACAUGCUUUGUGAGAUCUCAACCCUCCAACUAUUCAACUAUAGCCAGCUAAUGUAAAAUAAACAAACACACACAAAUAUGUACAGAAAAACUCAGUUUAAAAGAAAUCCGAGUCCGAUGUCAGAAAAGUAAACAAAAGAAACUACGCA